CCUACGGGAUGCUGCAGUGGGGAAUAUUGGGCAAUGGGCGCAAGCCUGACCCAGCAACGCCGCGUGAAGGAAGAAGGCUUUCGGGUUGUAAACUUCUUUUGUCAGGGACGAAGCAAGUGACGGUACCUGACGAAUAAGCCACGGCUAACUACGUGCCAGCAGCCGCGGUAAUACGUAGGUGGCAAGCGUUAUCCGGAUUUAUUGGGUGUAAAGGGCGUGUAGGCGGGAAUGCAAGUCAGAUGUGAAAACUAUGGGCUCCACCCAUAGCCUGCAUUUGAAACUGUAUUUCUUGAGUGCUGGAGAGGCAAUCGGAAUUCGGUGGGUAGCGGUGAAAUGCGUAGAUAUACGGAGGAACACCAGUGGCGAAGGCGGAUUGCUGGACAGUAACUGACGCUGAGGCGCGAAAGCGUGGGUAGCAAACAGGAUUAGAUACCCUAGUAGUC
rnacentral:rRNA from 1 species